UAUCGUUUGUAAUUUAUACGCUCCUCAAUGUCAGAUAAUAUUGCUUAGCGUAAAAUAUGCGGGCACGUGAAUUCUCAUUCGUUCCCGUCAUCGCCGAAAAUUUUCAGAUAGUAACACAUAUCAUACGUUAUUUUGUAAGUUGUAAAUUGUAAUAAACCUUGAUGCGUGUAUGUUAUGACAAGUUCGUACGUCGAAACGCGAUAAACUUCAAACCUAUACCACGUGUAUUUCUUUCUCUAUAAAGUACCACGUACUAUUAUUAAAAAAUUGAUUGAAAUCAAAACUGAAGAGAAAAUUAAUCAAAAUUAAGAACUCCUCGGUUUUCUAUACUGCUUCAACACGAUCCGUUCGUAGGACGAAAAUGCGAAGCGUGACAAUCACAGCGACGAGCACCUACCUUCGCGUUCGAACGCAAGGCACGCGGGUUUCUUGGGUGGCGAAACACACUGGACUCGGAAAAGCGAAAGCAUCAGAGAACCAGCGAGAACCACCCCCUACCUCUCGGAAGAGCCGUCGAAUCGUUCUCCUUUCCUCUUUUGACUUGUUAGUUAUUUUCGACCCCCGUUCUCCACCAAUCUCUUAACAUUCAACACCGACAACGCUCCUGGCAAACGUAGGAAACUGUUUUGCGUUUCCUGAAAUUCUCUUUUUUCGAAAUUGUUGACCAUUCUCCAACAGACUUUGUUACUUACUGUUGCAAUCAAACGCAUGGAUAAGGACGAUCUUCUUUUGAAAUGGCGUACGUGUAUCUCCUGAUAAUAUUUUCUUCGUGUAAUUUGUUUAAUAUAUUCGGUGUUAUAUGAUUUGUUUCUUGUUCCUUUUAGUGAA